rnacentral:lncRNA from 1 species
CCGGGGCACCGGGCCUGUCCCGCCGCAGGGCCCCUGCCCAGACUGCUCUCCCGCCCUCACCUGCCGGCUCACCUGCGCUUCCCCACCAGGCCCUGCAGCAGCCGCUGCAACCGCGCGCUGUCCCGCAGGCGGCUGAGCUCACUGGUGAACGUCCCGUCCGAGUGUCGCGGAGCCCUGGGGAGAGGCGGGGUCAGACGGCGUGGGCAGCGCCGGGCGGGAGGGGCGCGGACGCGG